GGCAUCGCAGCGUGGCGAGCAGGAGGCAGGAGCGGGACGCGCAGGGGAGCCGGGACCCUCCCGCGCACACGCACAUGCACACGCUGCGCGCUCUCACGCGCAUACACACGCCCUCCCUGCCGCGCUCGCCGCCGCGGCCACCAUCGCGGAGCCGAGCCCUGCGGAGCGGGAACCGAGGCCGGAGCGGGGACCGGAGGCAGCCGAGCCGGGGGAUGCCGGCCCGGAGCGGAGCCGCGCGCGGACGGCGCGCCCGGGACGCCUCCGGCACCCACAGGCCCUGAGGCUCCAGUGCCCACAGGCAGAGAGGGCGACUGAGUCCAGCCCAGGCUGAGCCCUGCCCAGCUGUACUCCCCAGACACCCACCCAACCCGAGGUGUCCCACCGAGGAGGCCCUGAUCUUGAGCCCGGAGCCCUGAGCCCUGAGACGAUGCUUGAGGAUCUUAUGACCAUGACCUGGCUACCUUGAGUCUGUGGGGCUACACAGCCUUCAGCCUGCAUCUCCAGGGCUCUGACUCUAUCCAGCUCCUGGACCAGCUCCCAAGUCUACUCCUGACCCCAGCCUGGGCCAAGGGGACUUCUCAAGCUUUGGGACCCAGCAGGACACAGCAGCAGUCAGGUGCAUGCUGGGACCGCGACGGACAGGCUGCCGCACCCCAGGCCCCCAGAGGCCAGUCUGUUUGCCUCC
rnacentral:sRNA from 1 species